UGCAAGAAAAAUAGUAGAUACUACUGUGCACACUGUGUAUACUUUUCACGCGGUCCUGGAUCGCGUGUAUGGUUCAAUUGACAGAUUGUUGUUACCUUGAUACGCGCUAAAUUAGUAACUACUGAAUUUUACUUAGAAACCAGAUUAUUGAAAAUAAUUUUUUUAUAAAAUAGGGAGAUGUUAUUAGCGUGACGAAAAUUAAUAAUUAUUUUUAUUUGAAUAAAUUUAUUUUUAGGAAUUAAUUUUAAUUAGUGUGAUUCUUUUGGCCAAUACGA
rnacentral:lncRNA from 1 species